rnacentral:piRNA from 1 species
UGAUAUUUUCUUCUAGCCUGUGCUACUUAC